rnacentral:rRNA from 1 species
GUACGUAGGGUGCGAGCGUUGUCCGGAAUUAUUGGGCGUAAAGAGCUCGUAGGCGGUGUGUCGCGUCGGUCGUGAAAACUUGGGGCUUAACCCUGAGCUUGCGGUCGAUACGGGCAUCACUGGAGUUCGGCAGGGAGACUGGAAUUCCUGGUGUAGCGGUGAAAUGCGCAGAGUAUCAGGAGGAACACCGGUGGCGAAGGCGGGUCUCUGGGCCGAUACCGACGCUGAGGAGCGAAAGCGUGGGGAGCGAACAGG